rnacentral:tRNA from 1 species
GCCUUCGUGGUGUAGAGGUCAGCACGCUCGACGCGUAACCGAGAGGACCUGGUUCGAUUCCCGGCGAAGGCG